rnacentral:rRNA from 1 species
AAUAGAUACCCCGGUAGUCCACGCCGUAAACGGUGGGCACUAGGUGUGGGCGACAUUCCACGUCGUCCGUGCCGCAGCUAACGCAUUAAGUGCCCCGCCUGGGGAGUACGGCCGCAAGGCUAAAACUCAAAGGAAUUGACGGGGGGCCCGCACAAGCGGCGGAGCAUGUGGCUUAAUUCGACGCAACGCGAAGAACCUUACCAAGGCUUGACAUACACCGGAAACGUCCAGAGAUGGGCGCCCCCUUGUGGUCGGUGUACAGGUGGUGCAUGGCUGUCGUCAGCUCGUGUCGUGAGAUGUUGGGUUAAGUCCCGCAACGAGCGCAACCCUUGUCCCGUGUUGCCAGCAGGCCCUUGUGGUGCUGGGGGACUCACGGGAGACCGCCGGGGUCAACUCGGAGGAAGGUGGGGACGACAUCAAGUCAUCAUGCCCCUUAUGUCUUGGGCUGCACACGUGCUACAAUGGCCGGUACAAUGAGCUGCGAUACCGCGAGGUGGAGCGAAUCUCAAAAAGCCGGUCUCAGUUCGGAUUGGGGU